CUGACCCUCAUUCUUCAACCACUGACCCUCAGUUCUCAACCACUGACUCUCAAUCCUCAACCAUUGACCCUG